rnacentral:tRNA from 1 species
AUGGAUGUGGCUCAGCGGUAGAGCACUCGCCUAGCACGCACAGGUCCAUGGGUUGGAUCCUCAGCACCACAUA